GAUGAACGCUGGCGGCGUGCUUAACACAUGCAAGUCGAACGGUGAAGCAGGAGCUUGCUUUUGUGGAUCAGUGGCGAACGGGUGAGUAACACGUGAGCGACCUGCCCCUGACUCUGGGAUAAGCGCUGGAAACGGCGUCUAAUACUGGAUAUGUGAUGUGACCGCAUGGUCUGCAUCUGGAAAGAAUUUCGGUUGGGGAUGGGCUCGCGGCCUAUCAGCUUGUUGGUGAGGUAAUGGCGCACCAAGGCGUCGCCGGGUAGCCGGCCUGGGAGGGUGACCGGCACACCUGGGACUGAGACACGGCCCAGACUCCUACGGGAGGCAGCAGUGGGGAAUAUUGCACAAUGGGCGGAAGCCUGAUGCAGCAACGCCGCGUGAGGGAUGACGGCCUUCGGGUUGUAAACCUCUUUUAGCAGGGAAGAAGCGAAAGUGACGGUACCUGCAGAAAAAGCACCGGCUAACUACGUGCCAGCCGCCGCCGUAA
rnacentral:rRNA from 1 species